UGCACGCUGGCGGCGUGCCUAAUACAUGCAAGUCGAGCGACCAGACGAGGAGCUUGCUCCUCUGACGUUAGCGGCGGACGGGUGAGUAACACGUGGAUAACCUACCUAUAAGACUGGGAUAACUUCGGGAAACCGGAGCUAAUACCGGAUAAUAUAUUGAACCGCAUGGUUCAAUAGUGAAAGACGGUUUUGCUGUCACUUAUAGAUGGAUCCGCGCCGCAUUAGCUAGUUGGUAAGGUAACGGCUUACCAAGGCAACGAUGCGUAGCCGACCUGAGAGGGUGAUCGGCCACACUGGAACUGAGACACGGUCCAGACUCCUACGGGAGGCAGCAGUAGGGAAUCUUCCGCAAUGGGCGAAAGCUUGACGGAGCAACGCCGCGUGAGUGAUGAAGGUCUUCGGAUCGUAAAACUCUGUUAUUAGGGAAGAACAAAUGUGUAAGUAACUAUGCACGUCUUGACGGUACCUAAUCAGAAAGCCACGGCUAACUACGUG
rnacentral:rRNA from 1 species